rnacentral:rRNA from 1 species
AGCGAACGCUGGCGGCAGGCUUAACACAAGCAAGUCGAACGCCCCGCAAGGGGAGUGGCAGACGGGUGAGUAACACGUGGGAACGUACCAUUUGGUUCGGAAUAACUUGGGGAAACUCAAGCUAAAACCGGAAAAGCCCUUAUGGGGAAAGGUUUACUGCCGAAGGAUCGGGCCGCGUCUGAUUAGCUAGUUGGUGAGGUAAUGGCUCACCAAGGCGACGAUCAGUAGCUGGUCUGAGAGGAUGAUCAGCCACACUGGGACUGAGACACGGCCCAGACUCCUACGGGAGGCAGCAGUGGGGAAUAUUGGACAAUGGGGGCAACCCUGAUCCAGCCAUGCCGCGUGAGUGAUGAAGGCCUUAGGGUUGUAAAGCUCUUUUACCGGGGACGAUAAUGACUGUACCGGGGUAAUAAGCCCCGGCUAACUUCGUGCCAGCCGCCGCAGUAA